rnacentral:rRNA from 1 species
GGCAGACGGCUCAGUAACGCGUAGUCAACCUAACCUAUGGACGGGAAUAACCUCGGGAAACUGAGUAUAAUGCCCGAUAGAACAUUAUGCCUGGAAUGGUUUAUGUUCCAAAUGAUUUAUCGCCGUAGGAUGGGACUGCGGCCUAUCAGUUUGUUGGUGAGGUAAUGGCCCACCAAGACUAUUACAGGUACGGGCUCUGAGAGGAGUAGCCCGGAGAUGGGUACUGAGACACGGACCCAGGCCCUAUGGGGCGCAGCAGGCGAGAAAACUUUGCAAUGUGCGAAAGCACGACAAGGUUAAUCCGAGUGGUUUCUGCUAAAGGAACCUUUUGUUAGUCCUAGAAACACUAACGAAUAAGGGGUGGGCAAGUUCUGGUGUCAGCCGCCGCGGUAAAACCAGCACCUCAAGUGGUCAGGAUGAUUAUUGGGCCUAAAGCAUCCGUAGCCGGCUCUAUAAGUUUUCGGUUAAAUCUGUACGCUCAACGUACAGGCUGCCGGGAAUACUGCAGAGCUAGGGAGUGGGAGAGGUAGACGGUACUCGGGAGGAAGGGGUAAAAUCCUUUGAUCUCUCGAUGACCACCUGUGGCGAAGGCGGUCUACCAGAACACGUCCGACGGUGAGGGAUGAAAGCUGGGGGAGCAAACCGGAUUAGAUACCCGGGUAGUCCCAGCUGUAAACUAUGCAAACUCAGUGAUGCAUUGACUUGUGGNCANNNCNNNGCUGCAGGGAAGCCGUUAAGUUUGCCGCCUGGGAAGUACGUACGCAAGUAUGAAACUUAAAGGAAUUGGCGGGGAGCACCACAAGGGGUGAAGCCUGCGG